CACGUAGGGGGGCGAGCGUUGUCCGGAAUCAUUGGGCGUAAAGAGCUCGUAGGCGGCUCGAUAAGUCCGCUGUGAAAGUCCAGGGCUCAACCCUGGAAGGCCGGUGGAAACUGUCGGGCUAGAGUCCGGAAGAGGCGAGUGGAAUUCCCGGUGUAGCGGUGAAAUGCGCAGAUAUCGGGAGGAACACCAAUGGCGAAGGCAGCUCGCUGGGACGGUACUGACGCUGAGACGCGAAAGCGUGGGGGAGCAAACAGG
rnacentral:rRNA from 1 species